GCGGCUUCUCACUUCUCAGGCUAUCGCGGUUCCGCCUGCCUCUCGCCCUGAAGACCGCGUGUGGUGCUGAAUCGGGCGUCGUUGUGAUGGGCCUUUUGGGCUCGGCGGCCUCGGAAGCGCGUGGUCGUCCUCUUUCUAUCCUAAGGCCUUUUGGGCUCCAUCUCGAGGCCUUUUGGGCUCGGCGGCACGGCGCUUCCUCCCGCCUGCCGGCGUCGCGGCCUGGACAACGCGGCGACUAAGGGCGAAUCGGCGAUGCCUCGAACCAUCUCC
rnacentral:lncRNA from 1 species